rnacentral:lncRNA from 1 species
GCGAUUAGGAGAAGGCAUUCUAUUGGGGCAGGCUUACUAAAAGGAACUGGCUAGCCUGAAACUGGAUAUACAGGAAUUGGCUAAAAAGAGUUGUUUAGCUUUAUCCUAUCCCUAGCUUGCUUUACUAGCUUGAAAGGACAGGGACUUAAGGUAAAGGCUUUCAUUCAAGGACAGAAGGGAGGCAAAAAAUCAAUAGAAAAAAUCCCUUCCCAGCUCGGAAGUUCGCUUCCGGCGACUAGCUUCUACCGCUAGCGCUUGGACUUGGAAGCAAGCUACAGCUACCUUUCAAGGUGGGAGGGGCGUCUAAGGCAGGAAAGGUUGGUUCGAGGACCGUUGGUCAAAGGAAAAGGGGGGAGGUCCUGAUUCCGGGGCGGAGCCGUAUGACGUAAGAGUGUAGACUCUUGAACUCAGGGAGCGAGACCCUAAAAAAAGUUCAAGAAGCUAUGAGGAGUGGUAAACUCUGAAAGGAAAGAUGGAAACAGUGGAGUUGGCUGAUAAAGAUGGACAGUAACGAUUGCAUAAUAUAAAUUUUUCGGCCUCGUCAUCGAAAGCGGCUUCCAAUUGCUCGGAAAUUAUAAGCUAUAUGGGGGGCU